GGGCGCGGCGGGGCGCGGCGCGGCGCGGGGCGGGGCUGGGCGGGACGCUCGGUCAUCCCCGCCGGCCUCUCCCCGCAGCCAUGGCCGCCGGCCCCGCGCCGCCCCCCGGCAGCCCCCGGGCGCAGAUGCCGCAUCUGAGGAAGAUGGAGCGGGUGGUCGUGAGCAUGCAGGACCCCGACCAGGGCGUGAAGAUGCGGAGCCAGCGCCUGCUGGUCACCGUCAUUCCCCACGCGGUGACAGGUGAGGCGCGCCGGGGCGGGGGUGCGUGCGCGCCUCGGCCUCCCUCCACCUCCGUCUCUCCCGUGCAGGCAGCGACGUCGUGCAGUGGUUGGCCCAGAAGUUCUGCGUCUCGGAGGAGGAGGCCCUGCACCUGGGCGCCGUCCUGGUGCAGCACGGCUACAUCUACCCGCUGCGCGACCCCCGUAGCCUCAUGCUCCGGCCAGACGAGACGCCCUACAGGUUCCAGGUCAGGCUCGGGGGCGCAGGUGGGAGCCGGUGGGACCCCCAUCCCCACCCACCCAGCUUACCAACCUGGGGAGACAGGAGGGGCGCCAAGCUUGCUGGGAUUGGAGUGGGACUCCGCCAUGUCACCGUGGGCUGGUGGUCCAUCGCCCCCUCCCCAAAAGUCCUGGACCGCAAGUACCGAUGUGGUGAGAAGGACCCCGGCUGAGGGACGGAGCCUCAGUUUUCCUGGGGGCCACAGUAGGGCCCCACAAGGGGUCGUAUCUGCAGAGGAUUCUGCCGUCUUCCUGGGGGUCCUUAGGCCCAGUCCCUGAGGGGGCUGUGAAGGCCUGAGGACAGCAUUCCUGCCCUCCCUAACCACAUCAGGGUCCCGGGCCGACCUGCCGUCGGUUGUACCCCUCCCCAGGCACAGACUGUGACUACAUCCAAGACUUGUGCAGGCCCCCAGCCCCACCCCACCUUGAAUGGGGGCUUAGGGUGACCAGUGAGGGAGACAGUCCCUGAACAGGGCCCCAAGGAGCGAGUUGACCUCACUUCCAGGUGGAGAGACUGGCCAGUGGUCAGUGGAGUCUCUGGGUGCUGGGCAGGCAGGGAGACCCUCAGACACCCCCUGCCCAGCCCAGGCUUCUUCCCAGAGAGGUCUGAGGGUGGGGUGACACUGGGGAGGCACAGACGCAGGCGUCCUGGACACCUUCUCCCUGCACCACACCAGAGCCCGUACUUCUGGACAAGUACCCUGUGGCCGGCUGCAGAGCUGGACUAUGCCAUCUACCUGGCCAAGAAGAACAUCCGAAAACGGGGGACCCUGGUGGACUAUGAGAAGGACUGCUAUGACCGGCUACACAAGAAGAUCAACCACGUGUGGGACCUGGUGCUGAUGCAGGCGAGGGAGCAGCUGCGGGCAGCCAAGCAGCGCAGGAAGGGGGACAGGCUGGUCAUUGAGUGCCAGGAGCAGACCUACUGGCUGGUGAACAGGCCCCCGCCCGGAGCCCCCAGUGUGCUGGAGCAGGGUCCAGGGCGGGGAUCCUGCGCUGCCAGCCGUGUGCUCAUGGUGGAGGCCUCCAGAACCAGAGGGACCAGACCAGAGGGAGCAUCUGAGCCCCGCAGCAGCAAAACUCUUUGUUCAAACCGAGUCCCAACCAGACCCAGCAUCUGGAAAGAUGCACCUAGAACCUCACUGAUAAAACUUCUUAAGUUCACGACCCUAACAUUUCCCCAUACAAAGCUGGUCAGAGAGAGCGGGGACACAGGCUAGGACUCGCAGCUCGUCCGCCUCCUCCGCUCUGGCCCCAGCAAGGCCCCGACCGAUGAACUCAAUGAGUCACAUCUGGUUCCCCAGUGAUUCCCAUUAGUAGUAUUUCUCAAGUAUGUGUUGUUUAAAAACAUAAUUUAAGUACAUUUGAAAAUAUGACAUAUUAGACCGGGCUCGGUGGCUCACUUCUCUAAUCCCAGCACUUUGGGAGGCCGAGGCGGGCGGAUCACCUGAGUUCAGGAGUUCGAGACCAGCCAGAUCAACAUGGAGAAACCCCAUCUCUACUAAAAAUACAAAAUUAGCUGGGCGUGGUAGCUCAUGCCUGUAAUCCCAGCUACUGGAGAGGCUGAGGCAGGAGAAUGGCUUGAAUCCAGGAGGCGGAGGUUGUGGUGGGCUGACAUCGCACCACUGCACUCCAGCCUGGGCAACAAAAGUGAAACUCUGUCUCAAAAAAAUCAUAAAGAAAAGAAAAAAUAUGAUA
rnacentral:sRNA from 1 species